CAUUUUCUAGUUUAUAUAGAACUACUGAUUUGCAUUCAGUGAGAAGGAUUUCCUGAAAAUGU
rnacentral:tRNA from 1 species